CUUGAAUAUUAUAAGAGGUCCCGCCUGCCCAGUGACUCUGUUCAACGGCCGCGGUAUCCUAACCGUGCGAAGGUAGCGUAAUCACUUGUUCUUUAAAUAGGGACUAGUAUGAAUGGCACCACGAGGGUUAUACUGUCUCCCCCUUUUAAUCAGUGAAACUAAUCUCCCCGUGAAGAAGCGUGGAUGAUACUAUAAGACGAGAAGACCCUAUGGAGCUUUAAACUAGUUUCCCAACAACCUCACCUCCUUUUUAAGCUUAUGCUUUUAAUAAUCAGUCCGGUUCUAUGGGAACAAGUUUUAGGUUGGGGUGACCACGGAGUAAAAAACAACCUCCGAGCUGUAAGGGGCUACCCCCUGAACAACAAACUACAACUUUAUGUACCAAUAUAUUGACACCUAUUGACCCAAUAUUUUGAUCAACGAAC
rnacentral:rRNA from 1 species